GGAUGCGAUCAUACCAGCACUAAAGCACCGGAUCCUAUCAGAACUCCGAAGUUAAGCGUGCUUGGGCGAGAGUAGUACUAGGAUGGGUGACCUCUUGGGAAGUCCUUGUGUUGCAUUCC
rnacentral:rRNA from 1 species